ACACGACGUUCUUCCGAACAGGAAACUUUCGUAAAUCUUUGCCAUCUUGGUAUUCGCAAAGGAAAAACGGUUAACCUUUGAUAACUAUAAAUCACGUCCAAUUUUUAACAAAAUACUGCAAUACACUAACAGAUAAACCUGUUAG